UGCAAGCCGAGCGGUANAGAUCUUUCGGGANCUAGAGAGCGGCGUACGGGUGCGGAACACGUGUGCAACCUACCUUUAUCAGGGGGAUAGCCUUUCGAAAGGAAGAUUAAUACCCCAUAAUAUUUUGAAUGGCAUCAUUUAAAAUUGAAAACUCCGGUGGAUAGAGAUGGGCACGCGCAAGAUUAGAUAGUUGGUGAGGUAACGGCUCACCAAGUCUACGAUCUUUAGGGGGCCUGAGAGGGUGAUCCCCCACACUGGUACUGAGACACGGACCAGACUCCUACGGGAGGCAGCAGUGAGGAAUAUUGGACAAUGGGUGCGAGCCUGAUCCAGCCAUCCCGCGUGAAGGACGACGGCCCUAUGGGUUGUAAACUUCUUUUGUAUAGGGAUAAACCUACUCUCGUGAGAGUAGCUGAAGGUACUAUACGAAUAAGCACCGGCUAACUCCGUGCCAGCAGCCGCGGUAAUACGGAGGGUGCAAGCGUUAUCCGGAUUUAUUGGGUUUAAAGGGUCCGUAGGCGGAUCUGUAAGUCAGUGGUGAAAUCUCACAGCUUAACUGUGAAACUGCCAUUGAUACUGCAGGUCUUGAGUGUUGUUGAAGUAGCUGGAAUAAGUAGUGUAGCGGUGAAAUGCAUAGAUAUUACUUAGAACACCAAUUGCGAAGGCAGGUUACUAAGCAACAACUGACGCUGAUGGACGAAAGCGUGGGGAGCGAACAGGAUUAGAUACCCUGGUAGUCCACGCCGUAAACGAUGCUAACUCGUUUUUGGGCUUUCGGGUUCAGAGACUAAGCGAAAGUGAUAAGUUAGCCACCUGGGGAGUACGUUCGCAAGAAUGAAACUCAAAGGAAUUGACGGGGGCCCGCACAAGCGGUGGAUUAUGUGGUUUAAUUCGAUGAUACGCGAGGAACCUUACCAAGGCUUAAAUGGGAAAUGACAGGUUUAGAAAUAGACUUUUCUUCGGACAUUUUUCAAGGUGCUGCAUGGUUGUCGUCAGCUCGUGCCGUGAGGUGUUAGGUUAAGUCCUGCAACGAGCGCAACCCCUGUCACUAGUUGCCAUCAUUAAGUUGGGGACUCUAGUGAGACUGCCUACGCAAGUAGAGAGGAAGGUGGGGAUGACGUCAAAUCAUCACGGCCCUUACGCCUUGGGCCACACACGUAAUACAAUGGCCAGUACAGAGGGCAGCUACACAGCGAUGUGAUGCAAAUCUCGAAAGCUGGUCUCAGUUCGGAUUGGAGUCUGCAACUCGACUCUAUGAAGCUGGAAUCGCUAGUAAUCGCGCAUCAGCCAUGGCGCGGUGAAUACGUUCCCGGGCCUUGUACACACCGCCCGUCAAGCCAUGGAAGUCUGGGGUACCUGAAGUCGGUGACCGUAAA
rnacentral:rRNA from 1 species